rnacentral:snRNA from 1 species
GGAUGAGGGCCAUCUGGCUGCGACAUCUGUCACCCCACUGAUCCGCCAGGGAUGAUUUGGCUGCUCUGGCUGGCUAAGCUGGUGUCCCCUUCCUCCCUCACCGCUCCACGUGCUUCCCUCCUGAAGCUGCGUGCUCAGUCAGUAGAAGAGGAUGACCUUCCCCCAAUAGAGGAGGACCGAAGGAGGACCCUUGACCGAAGGAGUCAAGGAUAGGAGUAGCUGUGCUCCCCUGCUAGAACCUCCAAACACACUCAGGACUGAUUUGUGUACCUAGUGACACUCUGUUUUUUAUCGGUGAGAGGUUAUCGAUUGGAAAUAGCUUCUGCGU